CCUACGGGUGGCAGCAGUAGGGAAUAUUGCUCAAUGGGGGAAACCCUGAAGCAGCAACGCCGCGUGGAGGAUGAAGGUUUUAGGAUUGUAAACUCCUUUUGUUAGAGAAGAUAAUGACGGUAUCCCACGCCUACUCACCGGCUAACUCCGUGCCAACAGCCGCGGUAAUACGGAGGGUGCAAGCGUUAUUCGGAAUCACCGGGCGUAAAGCGUGCGCAGGCGGGCUUGUAAGUCAGAUGUGAAAUCCUGUAGCUUAACUACAGAACUGCAUUUGAAACUAUGAGUCUAGAGUGUGGGAGAGGUAGGUGGAAUGCUUGGUGUAGGGGUAAAAUCCGUAGAUAUCAAGAGGAAUACUCAUUGCGAAGGCGACCUACUGGAACAUUACUGACGCUCAUGCACGAAAGCGUGGGGAGCAAACAGGAUUAGAUACCCUUGUAGUC
rnacentral:rRNA from 1 species